rnacentral:tRNA from 1 species
UGGGAGAUCGUCUAAUGGUAGGACAACAGUCUCUGACACUGUUUAUCUAGGUUCGAGUCCUAGUCUCCCAACCA